UACGAAGGGGGCUAGCGUUGUUCGGAAUUACUGGGCGUAAAGCGCACGUAGGCGGAUACUUAAGUCAGGGGUGAAAUCCCGGGGCUCAACCCCGGAACUGCCUUUGAUACUGGGUAUCUCGAGUCCGAGAGAGGUGAGUGGAAUUCCGAGUGUAGAGGUGAAAUUCGUAGAUAUUCGGAGGAACACCAGUGGCGAAGGCGGCUCACUGGCUCGGUACUGACGCUGAGGUGCGAAAGCGUGGGGAGCAAACAGG
rnacentral:rRNA from 1 species